rnacentral:rRNA from 1 species
GACGAACGCUGGCGGCGUGCUUAACACAUGCAAGUCGUACGGAAAGGCCCUUUCUGGGGUACACGCGCGGCGGACGGGUGAGUAACACGUAAGUAACCUUCCCGCACCUUUCGUAUACCGCUCGUAAACUGGUUCGAAUACUUAAUAUGUACUACUGCUUGCUGGUGGGUGUUGGAUAGCUCGUGCGGUUGGGUGUGGAUGGACUGGCGGUCUGCUUGGUUGUUGGUUGGGGAGUGGCUUACCAAGGGACUGACGGGUAGCCGGCCUGAGAGGGUGACCGGGCAAAUUGGGACUGAGAGAAGGCCCCGACCCCCACGGGAGGCAGGAGGGGGGAAUAUUGGACAAUGGGCGCAAGCCUGAUGGAGGAACGCCGCGGGCGGGAGGACGGCCUUCGGGUUGGAAACCGCUUUCAGCAGGGAAGAAGCUUUUUGUGACGGUACCUGCAGAAGAAGCACCGGCUAACUACGUG